rnacentral:rRNA from 1 species
UAACAAGGAUUCCCCUAGUAACUGCGAGUGAAGCGGGAAAAGCUCAAAUUUAAAAUCUGGCGGCUUUGCUGUCCGAGUUGUAAUCUGGAGAAGCGUUUUCCGCGUCGGACCGUGUACAAGUCUCUUGGAACAGAGCGUCAUAGAGGGUGAGAAUCCCGUCCAUGACACGGACUACCGAUGCUUUGUGAUACGCUCUCGAAGAGUCGAGUUGUUUGGGAAUGCAGCUCAAAAUGGGUGGUAAAUUCCAUCUAAAGCUAAAUAUUGGCGAGAGACCGAUAGCGAACAAGUACCGUGAGGGAAAGAUGAAAAGCACUUUGGAAAGAGAGUUAAACAGUACGUGAAAUUGUUGAAAGGGAAACGCUUGAAGUCAGUCGCGUCUUGCAGGACUCAGCCUUGCUUCUGCUUGCGUGUACUUCCUGUAGGACGGGUCAACAUCGAUUUUGGUCGACGGACAAAGGGGAUGGGAAUGUGGCAGUCUUCGGGCUGUGUUAUAGCCCUCUUCCGCAUACGUCGACUGGGAUCGAGGACCGCAGCGCGCCUUUAAUGGCCGGGAGUUCGCUCCACGUAUCGCGCUUAGGAUGUUGGCAUAAUGGCUCUAAGCGACCCGUCUUGAAACACGGACCAAGGAGUUUAACAUGCUUGCGAGUGUUAGGGUGGAAAACCCUUGCGCGUAAUGAAAGUGAAAGUUGAGAACCUCCGCAAGGGGGUGCACCGACGCCCGGCCCUGAAGUUUACCGACGGUGCUGCGGUAGAGCACGUAUGUUGGGACCCGAAAGAUGGUGAACUAUGCCUGAAUAGGGCGAAGCCAGAGGAAACUCUGGUGGAGGCUCGUAGCGAUUCUGACGUGCAAAUCGAUCGUCAAAUUUGGG